rnacentral:lncRNA from 1 species
GCUACUCCCUCCAUUUUAAUUUAUGUGACAUAAUUGACUCGACACGAAGUUUAAGAAUUCUUUUCAAAACUUAAAAUCUUAAAUAUGCCAUAAAAUUCAUUUGGCAAUAAGACUUUUGAAACUAAUAAUUUUACACGCCAAAACAUUUGUGUGAACAUAAAUGAUACUUAUUAAAGGUAAAAUAGAAGUUUAAAAUUAAAUUUUUGAAAAUACAAAAUUAAUGAAAUAUUCUUUUUUAAACAGAAAUAAAGAAAUAAUAUCCUAUACAUAUAUCACGAUUCACGAUCCAAGGAAUUCAAGACCGACACUUCUCGGGGUUGACUUCAAACAAAUUAGCUAAAGCCAAUUUACGCAGCUCUACAUUUCCACAAAAGUCGGCAAGCAACAAGAUGAACACCCCAGAGCAAAGAAUCGGGCCGAAAGGCAUGCUUCUAAUAAAAUGCUAAGCCAUUUCUAGGUCAUCAGCCCGCCCCAGCAAACAGAUCCAUCAAUACCAUGCAGAUAAAAUGCUUUAGUAUAGGUUUAAUACCAACUCCAGCUCCAUUGCACGAAAGUACUUGAUUCUGAAUGGCCUAUGCCAAUAGAGAAAAUUUCCAGCAUAUCCUUAAUUAAUCGCAGAGAUAUAUAUCAUACCAUUCCCAUGGAUACCAUGAGAUGAUAUUUUCGCGUUACAAAGGAUAGAAUUGAUCCUAGAUGCCUCAUAAAAUAAAGACACGGAAUUCCAGCCUUGGACAUUUUCCAUAGAGGUCGAUGAGGAAGAUAUAAUAAAGACAUCCAGAUGUAGAACAACCUUCAUCUCAUGCCCUGUCCUCAUCCUUCUUGCAAUGCGCCUAAAUGGCAUGUCAUUCGUUAUGUUGUAUGCUUCAAUAGCCUCUCUUGCAAGGCCCUUUUGAGCAUUACUUGUGUCACUCUGUUACACAAAACCACAUCCUUAACACAAAUUAACAUACAUAUCAACCAUGACACUCCCCCCAAAGUAACAUCUCCUCAAUAUAAAUCCAUGAAAAGAUCUGCUCAAAGGAUUUUUUUUUUGGUCCUAACAAUAUUAGAAGCGUAAUCUCAAUAAAGCAGUAAGGUUGAAUCCCCUGUAACAUCCUCCUGAAAGUACUUUAGGGCUUUAUCUUUUCUCGUAUGACAUCCUUAUCCUCAACUUGUAUCUUCUUGUUCGGCUGCCCCCAUUUGAAGAUGGCCAAGCCUCUCCACAACUUUACCGUGAAUUUACCCUUCUUAUUUUUCUUUCUGCAGUUUGCCUAAAGAUCGGCGUGGGCCUUGGCCAUAUGCUGCCUCAAGCCUGCUAACAGAAUCUGCUAACUUCUCAUGAGACUCUGCCUGUUUUUUGUUUGGGCCUCCAGGUAUGUCUUCAUCUCUUUUUUAGUACAGUACUCAAGCAUAGACAGGGAGUGCGAGGGUCCACUCGGGAGUUGUGACACCAAGUCACGAACGGAGACAAGCUGGGAAUUCAGCAUCCCAAAUGGCCCCUUAGGCAGUGUCACCUGCGAGGACUCUGGUCCGGCAACUGUGGUGAUCUUCCUCUUCUUGCUUUUCACUGCACUAUCCUCACCGGUCACUCUCAAAGGAUGAAAGGAUUUGUUGGCCGGUAACCAACGACCGGUGCUACGCACAUCAACAUCUGCCCGUCGACACAACUCUGUGAUAAAUGAAGGGAACAUCAAGCUUGUACUGUCUCGUAGCAAGUACUCUUUCAGCUCCUGAAUGAUAUAAUAACCAACAUUCACAUGAAUGUCAUCAAGUACGCAUGCAAUCAUCAGGGCCUGACCUACAGAAACAUCGCCACAAGAAGAGACUCUCUUACAGAUGAUGUAAAGCCACAACUUGGCCUCAGCUGUGAAGUCAAUGAAUUUUAAAUCCUUCCUCUUGUCAGCCACUUCGCUCUCUUGUCUGAGGGAUAAAGUUUAGAUGCUAGCCACGCUUCGUUUGAGCAUGUUAUCUUUUUCUUGUAUCAGCUCAAGUGGAUGGUCCGGAAGCCCAAAAACAUCAUUGAUCUGCUCAGGUCCAAAUCUCAUUGUUUUGCCCCUUAUGAUGAGUUGUGGGCCGUUGAAGUUUGUACACUGAUCCAAAUCUAUCAAGAGUUUUAAAUUUGUGCAGUACAUGAUCAAUGGCGGAUGUAUUGGAAUAAAUACAUCUCAACCAAAGUCUUCAAAUUGGGCUUCAACGACCCACAACUCAUCAUAAGGGGCAAAAUAUUGAGAUUCGGACCUGAGCAAAUCAAUAAUGUUUUUGGGCUUCCGAACCAUCCACUUGAGCCGGUACGAGAAAAAGAUACAUGCUCAAGCGGAGAGUGGCUAGCAUCUAAACCUUAUCCCUCAGACAAGACAGCGAAGCGGGCCAACAAGAUGAAGGGUAUAAAAUCCAUUGACUUCACAACUGAGGCCAAGAUGUGGCUUUACGUCAUCUGUAAUAGAGUCUCACCUUGUGGCAAUGUUUCUGAUGUGUCGUAUAUCAGGGCCCUGAUGAUCGCACGCAUACUUGAUGGCAUUCAUGUGAAUGUCGAUUAUUAUAUCAUUCAGGAGCUGAAAGAGUACUUACUACGAGACAAUCCAGGCUUGACGUUCCCUUCCUUUAUCACAGAGUUGUGCCGGCGGGCAGAUGUUGGUGUGCGUAGCGCCAAUCAUUGGUUACCAGCCGACAAACCCUUUCAUCCGUUAAGAGUGACCAAAGAUAGUGUAGUGAAAAGCAAGAAGAGGAAGGUCAUCACAAUUGUCGGACCAGAGUCCUCGCAGGUGACACUGCCUAAGGGACCAUUUGGGAUGUUGAAUUCCCAGCUUGUCUCCAUUCGUGACUUGGUAUCACAACUCCCGAGUGGACCCUCGCACUCCCAGUCUACACCUGAGUAUUAUACUAAAGAAGAGAUGAAGACAUACCUGGAGGCCCAAACAAAAGAACAGGCAGAGGCAGAGUCUCAUGAGAAGUUAGCAGAUUCUGUUAGCAGGCUUGAGGCAGCAUAUGGCCAAGGCCCACGUCGAUCUUCAGGUAGACUUCCAGAAGGAGAAAGAGAAAAUAAGAAGGGUAAAUUCAUAGUAAAGAUGUGGAGAGGCAUCAAAGCCAUCUUCAAAUGGGGGCAGCCG